GAUGAAGAACGCAGCGAACUGCGAUAAGUAAUGUGAAUUGCAGAAUUCAGUGAAUCAUCGAGUCUUUGAACGCACAUUGCGCCCCCUGGCAUUCCGGGGGCAUGCCUGUCCGAGCGUCAUUGCUGCCCUUCAAGCCCGGCUUGUGUGUUGGGUCGUCGUCCCCCCCGGGGGACGGGCCCGAAAGGCAGCGGCGGCACCGCGUCCGGUCCUCGAGCGUAUGGGGCUUUGUCACCCGCUCGAUUAGGGCCGGCCGGGCGCCAGCCGGCGUCUCCAACCUUCUAUUUUACCAGGUUGACCUCGGAUCAGGUAGGGAUACCCGCUGAACUUAAGCAUAUCAAUAAGCGGAGGA
rnacentral:misc_RNA from 1 species